GACGAACGCUGGCGGCGUGCCUAAUACAUGCAAGUCGAACGAGUGGCGGACGGGUGAGUAAUGUCUGGGAAACUGCUCGAUGGAGGGGGAUAACUACUGGAAACGGUAGCUAAUACCGCAUACCAUCGGAUGUGCCCAGAUGGGUUUAGCUAGUAGGUGGGGUAACGGCUCACCUAGGCGACGAUCCCUAGCUGGUUUGGGAGGAUGACCAGCCACACAGGAACUGAGACACGGUCCAGACUCCUACGGGAGGCAGCAGUGGGGAAUAUUGCACAAUGGGCGCAAGCCUGAUGCAGCCAUGCCGCGUGUAUGAAGAAGGCCUUCGGGUUGUAAAGGACUUUCAGCGAGGAGGCGUUACUAGCAGAAGAAGCACCGGCUAACUCCGUGCCAGCCGCCGCGGUAAUAC
rnacentral:rRNA from 1 species